UCCUGCAGUCCUGCAGUUCUGCUCUCUGGGUCCUGAUUUUACUGACCACUACAUUCACUAUUGGGUCUGAAUCAGUGAACGGUCCAGUGAAGGUGAAGCUGCAUGACUCUGCUACUCUGUCCUGCUCUGAGAGAUGCUCUGGUUUAGCGAGAUGGACUGUGUUCCACAAACGCAGUGACACUCUGGCUGAGUGUGAUCAGACUUCAUGUAGAUCAGUGAAGGAGGGAUAUCAGAUGAUCCAUGAUCAGUACCUGAAGGGGAAUCUCUCUCUCAUCAUCACUGACGCUGAUUUCAGUAAGAGAGGCUGGUACACGUGUGACUGUGCCAGCAAGGACGUCUGUGAUGUUCAUCUACAGAUUGAGUCCUUGAACACUACAGUUGAGAUGAUGGCCGGUGAAUCUCUGAUCCUAAGGGUGGACGUAUCAGAUGCAGUGGACGUGAUUUAUAACAGUACAGGUACACCUGGACCAUCCAGUGGUCAGAUCUGUACAGUGGAUGGACCCUCACUACAGUGUAAACCUGAAUAGACACAGAGAUCAUCACUCACAUCUGGUGUUGAGCUGAGAAGAAUGGCUCCAUCUGACAGUGGAGUUUAUACUGUAAUGGACAGCAGGAAUAAAGAGGUCAUUCACACCUACACAGUGACCGUCCAAGAUGUACAGCAGAGCUCCAUAUGGAUGGAUGGAUAUCAGAAGGGAAGUGAAGAUGGAUAUCGCAAAGGAUUAGGAAUCGGAGCAGGGGUUUUCGGGGUCAUAGGUCUGAUUCUUGGAAUUCUGGUAAUGUUUCUUGGGCGGAAAGUGUGUUCCUCAGACAGAAGAUGAGAAGAUCCUUCAGGUGGAAUUUAAACUGAGGAAAAGGAAAGUGGUCAAACUUGUUGGUCAUACCGGUCCAGUGCAGCACGCGGUUCAACGUCAGCGCAGCAGCGUAAAACUUUGGGAGAGUCUGUUCAA